CCUACGGGCGGCAGCAGUAGGGAAUCUUCCGCAAUGGGCGAAAGCCUGACGGAGCAACGCCGCGUGAGUGAUGAAGGUCUUCGGAUCGUAAAACUCUGUUAUUAGGGAAGAACAAAUGUGUAAGUAACUAUGCACGUCUUGACGGUACCUAAUCAGAAAGUCACGGCUAACUACGUGCCAGCAGCCGCGGUAAUACGUAGGUGGCAAGCGUUAUCCGGAAUUAUGGGGCGUAAAGCGCGCGUAGGCGGUUUUUUAAGUCUGAUGUGAAAGCCCACGGCUCAACCGUGGAGGGUCAUUGGAAACUGGAAAACUUGAGUGCAGAAGAGGAAAGUGGAAUUCCAUGUGUAGCGGUGAAAUGCGCAGAGAUAUGGAGGAACACCAGUGGCGAAGGCGCCUUUCUGGUCUGUAACUGACGCUGAUGUGCGAAAGCGUGGGGAUCAAACAGGAUUAGAUACCCGAGUAGUC
rnacentral:rRNA from 1 species